UGGGGAAUUUUGCACAAUGGGGGAAACCCUGAUGCAGCGACGCCGCGUGAUUUAGAAGGCCUUCGGGUUGUAAAAAUCUUUUUUACGGGAUGAAAAUGACAGUACCGUAAGAAUAAGGUCCGGCUAAAUACGUGCCAGCAGCCGCGGUAAUACGUAUGGACCGAGCGUUGUCCGGAAUCAUUGGGCGUAAAGGGUACGUAGGCGGCCUAGUAAGUUAGAAGUUAAAGAAUAUAGCUCAACUAUAUAAAGCUUUUAAAACUGCUAGGCUUGAGAGAUGGAAGGGAAAGUGGAAUUCCUAGUGUAGCGGUGAAAUGCGCAGAUAUUAGGAAGAAUACCGGUGGCGAAGGCGACUUUAUGGUCAUCAUCUGACGCUGAGGUACGAAAGCGUGGGUAGCAAACAGG
rnacentral:rRNA from 1 species